AAGAGCCGUAUGCGGGAAAUCCGCACGUACGGUUCUGUGAGGGGGCAGUGGAAAUAGGGCUAAGGUAAACCUAAAC
rnacentral:ncRNA from 1 species